UGCAACCAAGCCUGGGCAACAGAGCAAGACUCCGUCUCAAAAAAUAUAUAUAUAUAUAUGAAACAGAAAAAGCAGAAAUAAAAGUGUUUAGGCCAGGCAUGGUGACUUACACCUGUAAUCCCAGCACUUUGGGAGGCCGAGGUGGGUGGGUUGCCUGAGGUCAGGAGUUCGAGAGCAGCCUGGUCAACAUUAUGAAACCCCGUCUCUACUAAAAAUACAAAAAAUUAGCUGGUUCUGAUGGCAGGCGCCAAUAAUCCCAGCUACUUGGGAGGCUGAGGCAGGAGAAUCGCUUGAACCUGGGAGGUGGGGGUUGCAGUGAGCUGAGAUCGCACCACUGCACUCCAGCCUGGGAAACAAGAGCGAAACUCCAUCUCAAGAGAAAAAAAUGGUGUUUUAAGUUGUGCACAAUGUCACUACCUCAACAUGAUCCCCACCACAGCCCCUGUGGCAGGCACACAGCUAUCACUGUGCAGCUGUCCACACGAGAGGGCAGAUCAAAUAAAUGAAUGUGAUUGAACAUUUUUCUUCUAACUACAGGGUUAUUAUUUAAUUUUACUUGAUUAGGCUCACACCAGAUAAAAGGUCAUAUUUUCUGUUUUGCUUUAGACCUCAAACGUCCUGGGAUUGCAGGUAUUUGAGAUCCCCACCAGGACUCCUGCUGAAGCAGGGCCAGCCCCCAGGCAUGGAGAACAUCAUUGCCCCCCAGCCUCCUCUGAUCAGACCACUGCCAAGCUGCACCAGUAACAGGAACCAGGAAUCUUGAGAAGCUGGAGGUGAACUGUUGAGCCCAGACCCCCUGGAUGUGGCAGCAUUCACAGAUGAAAAUGCAGCAUGGAGAGGGGACCCAUCAUGACCGAGCUCCACACCCAGCAGGUGGUGCAGCCUGGAGCAGACUCAGUCCAAGUUGCUUGUGCCUGUCCCUGGAAGUGCCUGGCUCAUUCAGACUGAAGGUGUGCCCGGGGAAGACGUGAGGCCGCUAGCAAACGGCCUGCUGUGCACAUGGCCCAGUGCUCGCCUUGGAAAAUGACUGUAGCAUGUGACAGACCAUGUGGGAGGCAUCAUCCACCCGGGAUAGCCGGGAAGCUGCCCAGACGAGGGGCACGGAGCCCAGGAUUAGGAGACGAAGAAGAAGAUGAUGAGACAAAGUCAUUUCCUAGAGGAUCCAAGCGGGAGGGCUUUCUAAGAAUGCCACACAAUCCAGGAGCUAGAUCUACGGCUUAUACAGUCGAUUCUUGGAUCUGGGGGAGUCAUGCUUUGUAGUCUCUUCGAACACUGAAUUAGCGAAUCCCAAACCAUUGUGUCCCAGCAAAACACAACACACUUUCCAAUCAGCUCCAUGUACAGAUCGGCACACUUCCUCUCCUCUUUCUGGAUGGGCAGUUGAUUCGUUAACAGGGAACCUCAGUCAACAGCACCAUAACUCACAUGUGAUGGAAGCUUCUCUAAUACACAUUUUCUCCCCUAGGCACAUCACAGCUUCUCUAUGCUUAAGAACACAGGGCAGCUCUUCAGCAUGGUGCCUGCAGCCAUUUGAAACAACAAAAUCACCAAAAAAAAACCCAGAAAGUGUGGCACUAAAUAGAAUGCAGGACUGACAACCCAGGAAAUAAAGGGACAAAUGUAAGUAGAGAAUUAACAGGAAAACAAUACAAAUGGGGUGUAGUGGCUCACACCUCUAAUCCCAGCACUUUGGGAGGCCAAGGCAGGUGGGUUGCCUGAGCUCAGGAGUUCGAGACCAGCCUGGGCAACACAGUGAAACCCCGU
rnacentral:lncRNA from 1 species